GGCGGCGUGCUUAAUACAUGCAAGUCAACUUGACUUUAGAUAGCAAUAUUGAAAAGUAGGGUGGCGCACGGGUGCGUAACGCGUAGGUAAUCUGCCCUGAGGUCUGACAUAACCCGUCGAAAGGCGGGCUAACAUCAGAUGAUAUAUAAUCACGACAUCGUGGAAAUAUCAAAUCUUCGGAGCCUUGGGAUGAGCCUGCGUCUGAUUAGGUAGUUGGCGGAGUAAUAGCCCACCAAGCCUACGAUCAGUAGCUGGUCUGAGAGGAUGAUCAGCCACACUGGAACUGAGACACGGUCCAGACUCCUACGGGAGGCAGCAGUAAGGAAUAUUGCUCAAUGGGGGAAACCCUGAAGCAGCAACGCCGCGUGAAGGAUGAAAUACUUUUGUAUGUAAACUUCUGUAAGAUGGGAAAAAUAUUCUCCUCGGGAGAAUUGAUUGUACCAUCAGAGUAAGCCCCGGCUAACUACGUG
rnacentral:rRNA from 1 species